AAUUCUUAACCAAUAAUAAAAUAGUGUUAGCAUUUUAUAAAUUCAAUAGGCAUUUGUUUAAUUGUGUUCACUAUUGUUUUAAUUGUCUUAGGGCCUUUAAACAUUUUAUCAAAGUUUGGUUUCUCCACCAUAAUUACCUAUGUAUUAUUUGGUUCACUCCGAACAUUUAAAUUUUAAUAUUUGAAAACUUUUAUUGUUUGCUCGAUUUUGAAUUUGAAAUUCGAACUAGGUUCCGAACUAACGCGAGUUUAUCCACAGUAACCGAGGUGACAUGGCAUCAUUAGCGGGGAUUACUGUAGCUUAAUUACCCGGGCGUCACAAUUCUCCUCCACUACAAGAAAUCUCGUCCCGAGAUUUAAGAGGGGAGUAAGGGGAAAGACUAGGUUACGAUAUUCUAACGGAUCUUCUCGAAGAAGUUAAUCCCUUUCGUUGAUGUCUUCAAUUCUUUAUUCUGAUGCAUCAUGAUAAACUUGUCAUCAUUUCUUCGGGAACUCCAUCGUACUUACGAAAGGAUAAGGGGCAGCUCACUACGACAUAAUGCUUUUGAAGGAAACAAUCUGGGGUUAACCCAUGAAUUAGUAUAAGAUUAUCUCAUGAGUUGAACAUAUGAAAUACCUCGAGAGUAAGGUACGAAGGUACCAUAAGAGGCUCCAAGCGGAUAGAUAGUUGCUCGAAGCCUGAACCAGAGUGAGAAAGGGGUUCAGAGUAGCGAGAGUAAGUAUUGCGUCUGAUACCAGAAUAGAUCACUAGGACUGUGGCCCGUGAAUUACAUACGAGUCCACGCGCGAGGAAUAACUUUGGGAAUAGGGGGUGUACAGGACAGUCAGGUUUCGAUCCUGUGGAACUGUGGGUUAUGGGCCCACCAUGUGGUUUUUUAUUAUUAUUAUUAUUAUUUAAUAGGAGCAGUGACAUCUUUCACGGUCAUGAUAGCAAGGCAUGUCAGAGAGUACCAUGUCCGUUAUGUCGGCAACAACGUUGGUACCAAGGGCGAGGGACAAAGAGAACCACCUUCCUGCUCGUUGAACGAGGCGGACCAAUAGGCAAAGUUCUCGUCCAUUGGCGGUUACCGGAAGUCAUCAACAGUAGAAACAGGGUUACACCAGACAGGAAGGUACACCGAGGUGUUUACCUAAGCAGGGGAUUACCACUGCUCGGUUAAGUAGUUUACAAGAAAGUUUGAACAAAACAACGGGAAGGAAAAUGUGCUUAAACAUGUAUAUCAGGGGUAUAUCCUUCCCAAGGACAAGCAGAGCAAGAUAUCCAUGACAGGAUAUUAUGUAGAAAACUACUUAGGUAGGGGAGAGAAAUUUCAUGACAUUACCCAUACAACGGUGUUUGGAUAAUUGAGCAAGAAACAUUUAGCAUUGGGCUUCAAAUGUUCUUGUUGAAAAUCAGAGUAUCACAGACAUGCUUCGAGAUAGCAUUGACAUGGUCUUCAAGCAAAGGCCGGUUUUUAGAUACUCAAUGGAUCCAUCAGGAACAGUUUAUAACACAGGUCUUACAAUUUCCUCCAAGAAGAAUGGUUAUCCUUGCAAAUAAACCAUAAUGAUAGGUCCUCCAGCCAGGGGGGUGCUAGGCAUGACAUCCUGUUACCAGGUCAUCAAAGGGCCAACAACAUAACUCUUGGAAAGUUGUCCCAACCAUCAUAUCUGACCGUGAUUCAGAUCCGAUUGGUGUAAUGAUACCUCAGACUCAGGAUGUCCGAGAAUAAAAGGUGCAACACAAAUAGACGAAAUGACAUUUCAGGAUUCUCAGGAAAUGAACUAUGGGAGUGGGUUCCUGAAACAAUAGUUCAUCAUUAAACCAAUGAGAGGAGGAGGUGGCUGAUGGGCUCGGCGAUAAUCCAUCGAGAUUUCCGACAAGAUGGAUUUCCACAAUUAUGUGAACAAGGAGAUAACAUUUGUCAGAUCAAAUGGUAUAAUGAUGUAUGCUCGAGGAAACAUACUCAAUUAAACAUUGGUUGAAAGGUGCACCCAAAUAUGGGUUGGGUUGCACGAUCAAUGUUAGAAUGGUGACUUGACGAACAAAAGAAUUAGAAUGAAACUCGACCAUUACUUCAAAGCAAUAGGGUUGCUAGAAGUUUUGAAUUCACACCUCAUAGUUAAAUUGUCGGUAUUCUGGUUAGAAACAACACGGGUACCAAGAAAGAAUGGUGAGGGUGAGAAGUAUCACCAUACCAAGAAGUCUUAAGAGGUGGAGUAAUCCUCACGACCUUCUUGACAUAAAAGAUGGUAAUACUCCAUGGUAAAGAAGAACAAAUGCUAGGUAGCAAGGAACUCGAGGUAUAACACAGAACACAAACAAGUUUUUGUUGGAGGGAACGCAAUAAAGAGGUCGAUGACAACACAAAUCAUCGAGGGCAAGGAUGGUAUUUCUCAUCACUAAUUCAAUUGAUAUCCUGGAAGAGCAUCAGAAUGUAGAUGGUGAUCAUGACACAUUUGUCGAGAGAUUCCACGAAGAUGUAAUCGAUCCGCGAUCACAUCAAGUCAAAAGAAUGAUGAAGCAAGAGGUUAUUGGAACCAUAGGUACGACACAAACUUGAAAUCAAGAUUGUUGUUCAAGGCGAACUGAUAUGACGAGGAAGAUCGACGUAAGCUUAGCUCAUUGUCAAAAGUUGUGCUCCGGGAUUAAGGACCAGGUAGCACAGUUAAAAUUUAGCAUGGUAAUGAUAUGGCCGAUCAGGCUAGGAAUGACAUGAUCGGGUACAAACUCGUAAGUAAAGAAUAUUAGUAAGAGUUGUUGAACCGUAAUGCGGACUCGGUUCAGUUAUCGGUGUCUUUGAGUGUUUAAUAACUCAGAGCCCAUGAAAAAUUGUAAUCAGUGAGUAUGUAGUACUUGAUGAAGAACUCAUAGGAAGUUAUGCAGUUCCAAGAUAAUCUCGAGAUACCAUGGGGUAAUACUCGACGACAGAUCAAAGUAGAGGUUGUACUGGGGUAUUGAUCCACAGAAGACAAGUGCUUAGACUUGCAUCGAAAAUGGUAUUUAAAGGAGAACAUGGUCGGAACCACGAUUGUAAAAGGCCAUACCCCAGAUAUAAGAUGAACUUAUAUCAAGGGAAUAAUUAAUUUUAAAAGAAGCUUCGAUGAGAAGAUGUACAUCGGGUCCAUGGGCAUGAACACAAAGUUCAAGGUCGACUCCCACUUCUCCCAUGCAUAACCUUUCAUCCACUUCUCACGUUCGAUUAAGUUGCAGUGUUGAAAUUUUAUCUGGCGAAGCACCAGAAGAGUAUGACUCGUGAAAACUUUCGGGUUCACACGGUCUAGAGAAAGCAUAUGUUCAACCCUUAGUGGCUUCUUAGAAACAUAUACCACAAGUUUCAAGAGUAAAUAACACAAGCCUGAAAGCAGAGUAUGGUUGGCCAAGCGGAGGAUACAACUUAACAAAGGCAUUAGGUAUCAGGGGAAGAACUCACAAAGUGAUCAAAUGUGAAGGACACUGUCGGAUAAUAAUCCAACAGUGGAUAUGGUGAUCCACAAUGGGGCUGAUAUGAGUAUCGACACCCAAUUAGAGGAAGAAAGAUUGCAAAUGCAUCGGUUCAUAGAACAGCUGAAUAGUUCAACGCUUAAUUAGCAAAGUAAUUAUGAUUUUCAAAUCAAGGGAUCAGGAGAAAAUGCUAUGAUCAAGAAUGGAUAAGCUGAAUAGAAUUAGGGAUACAAUCAACGACAAUUGGACUGGUCGAGAACCAAUUCCAGUUAAAAGAAUGGCAGCUCAGCCGGAAAGGUAAUUUAGAUCAGUGAUGAUUGCGCGUAUUCGCAAACAUAUUGAGUCAAUAGACCCAAAAUUAUAAUGACAAGGAAUGUCAAUAAGACUACGAGACUUAUGGGAUUAACCAUAAUGCGAGCAAGCAAGAAUUUCAAGAGCCAAAGGCUCCAGAGGAUUUUCGGAAGAUCGAAUAGUAUUUUGAAGACUUUUGUGAUACUCAUGAACAACUGGGGAUGAGCGGAUACUCGAUAAGUGCAAUAAUUAACCGUAGGGGUAUUCAGGUGACAAAGAACAGCAAGGCAGUAAGCUCAAAGGAUUAUCGAAACAACGACGGGUUUUUCAGGUUAUCUUGUAAUAACAAGACCAACUGGGGAUGAAUGUAAGAAUAACAACUACAAGUAGUUAUCCAUAAGGGUUUGCGGUGGAAGGGGAAUUGCAAACGCGAUGAACACAAGUUCUCGGGUUAACAGCGGAGAGUAUCUUUAGGGUCUUCUGGUGCAGCAGAUGAUCAUCAGUAACAAGGGGCUCUCCGGGUGAAAGUGAUAACGAGAUCCUAUUGUUAGAUUUAGUAAACUUCAUUUAACCCGAAUAGAGGAGAGAUCAGAGUCCCAGAGUAAAGGUCGAGGAGUAAAAGAUCCUACUACCACCCAAUGGCGACGUGUGCCCAUAAGACACACGGCCAUGUUAGUAAAAGUUUUGCAAUGUCUAGACUCGACUUCGUCCAAGGAGUUGGAAGGGGGAUUCCUACAGGCAGUCGGCUCUGAUACCAACUUGUGACGCCCCCGAUUCAAUCGUACACUAAUCAUGCAUGCAAACGUGUACGAUCAAGAUCAGGGACUCACGGGAAGAUAUCACAACACAACUCUAAAAUAAAAUAAGUCAUACAAGCAUCAUAAUACAAGCCAGGGGCCUCGAGGGCUCGAAUACAAGUGCUCGAUCAUAGACGAGUCAGCAGAAGCAACAAUAUCUGAGUAUAGACAUAAGUUAAACAAGUUUGCCUUAAGAAGGCUAGCACAAACUGGGAUACAGAUCGAAAGAGGCGCAGGCCUCCUGCCUGGGAUCCUCCUAAACUACUCCUGGUCGUCGUCAGCGGGCUGCACGUAGUAAUAGGCACCUCCGGUGUAGUAGGAGUCAUCGUCGACGGUGGCGUCUGGCUCCAGGGCUCCAGAAUCGGGUUGCGACAACCAGAAAGAAAGGAAAGGGGAAAAAAGGAGGGAGAAAGCAACUAUGAGUACUCAUCCAAAGUACUCGCAAGCAAGGAACUACACUACAUAUGCAUGGGUAUAUGUGUAAAGAGGCCAUAUCGGUGGACUGAACUGCAGAAUGCCAGAAUAAGAGGGGGAUAGCUAGUCCUAUCGAAGACUACGCUUCUGGCAGCCUCCGUCUCGCAGCACGUAGAAGAGAGUAGAUUGAAGUCCUCCAAGUAGCAUCUCCAAGUAGGAUCUCCAAGUAGCAUCGCAUAGCAUAAUCCUACCCGGCGAUCCUCUCCUCGUCGCCCUGUAGAAAAGCGAUCACCGGGUUGUCUGUGGAACUUGGAAGGGUGUGUUUUAUUAAGUAUCUGAUUCUAGUUGUCAUAAGGUCAAGGUACAACUCCAAGUCGUCCUGUUACUGAAGAUCACGGCUAUUCGAAUAGAUUAACUUCCCUACAGGGGUGCACCAACUUACCCAACAUGCUCGAUCCCAUUUGGUCGGACACACUUUCCUGGGUCAUGCCCGGCCUCGGAAGAUCAACACGUCGCAGCCCCACCUAGGCUCAACAGAGAGGCCAGCACGCCGGUCUAAACCUAAGCGCGCAGGGGUCUGGGCCCAUCGCCCUGAGCACACCUGCACGUUGUGUACGCGGCUGGAAGCAGACCUAGCCUAGUGGCGUUCCAGUCCAAUCCGGCGCGCGCCGCUCAGUCGCUGGCGUCACGAAGUGCUUCGGCUGAUACCACGACGCCGAGUGCCCAUAUCUUUCCCACGUAGUUGGUUAGUGUGUAUAGGCUCGUAGCCAACUCAGAUCAAAUACCAAGAUCUCGUUAAGCGUGUUAAGUAUCCGCGAACGUCGAACAGGGCCAGGCCCACCUCUCUCCUAGGCGGUCUCAACCUGCCCUGUCGCUCCGCCACAAAGAUCCACUCGCGGGUGCUCCACCAGCCGACCCGACUUUAGUCUCCACAUGUAUCAUGUAUAAAGUAUAUAGUAUAUACCCGUGAUCACCUCCCGAGUGAUCACGGCCCGAUAGUAUAGCACGGCUGACGGACAAGAAUGUAGGGCCACAGAUGAAUAUACUAGCAUCCUAUACUAAGCAUAUAGGAUUGCAGGUAAAGGUAACAACAGUAGUAUCAAGGACAGGCUAUGCAUCAGGAUAGGUAUAACAGAAAGCAGUAACAUGCUACACUACUCUAAUGCAAGCAGUAUAGAGUAGAAUAGGCGAUAUCUGGUGAUCAAGGGGAGGGGCUUUUCUGGUUGCUCUGGCAAGAGAGAGAGGUCGUCAACUCCGUAGUCGAACUGGGCAGCAGCAGUGUCGGUCUCGUAGUCUACCGGAGAGAAGAGGGGGAAGAAACAAUGAAUACCAUGUAAACAGAUGCAUAUCAAUGCAUGACAAGACAAGUAACGAUGCUAGGCGUGCCCUAACGUGGUAUGAGGUGAUACCGGUGAAGGGGGAAGCAUCCGGGAAGUAUUCCCGAGGUUCCGUGUUUUCGGGCAGAGGAGCCGAAGGGGGAAAGUUGCGAGUUCGAUAGGUUAGGGGGGUGUGGCGGACGAACGGGUUGCGCAUCCGGAAUCGUCUCGUCGUUCUGAGCAACUUUCAUGUUGAAAAUAUUUUAAUCCGAGUUACGGACUAAAAGAUAUGAUUUUCUAAAGAUUUUAUUAAUUUCUAGAAUUUAGUUAAUUAUUUAAUUAAUUCGGAAAACAGAUUAAUGACAUUAGCAUGAUGUCAUGCUGACAUCAGCAGUCAACAGAGUUGACUUGGUCAACCUGACAUGUGGGUCCCAGCUGUUAUUGGGUGCUAAUUAACCUAACAGAUUAAUUAAAUAACCUAAGUGAUUAGGUUAAUCAAGUUUAAUUAGUUCAACUAAACAAGAUUAAUUAAGUUAAUUAAUUAAUUAAUUAAUUAAUUUUAAUAUUAAUUAUUUAUCUAUUAUANNNNNNNNNNNNNNNNNNNNNNNNNNNNNNNNNNNNNNNNNNNNNNNNNNNNNNNNNNNNNNNNNNNNNNNNNNNNNNNNNNNNNNNNNNNNNNNNNNNNNNNNNNNNNNNNNNNNNNNNNNNNNNNNNNNNNNNNNNNNNNNNNNNNNNNNNNNNNNNNNNNNNNNNNNNNNNNNNNNNNNNNNNNNNNNNNNNNNNNNNNNNNNNNNNNNNNNNNNNNNNNNNNNNNNNNNNNNNNNNNNNNNNNNNNNNNNNNNNNNNNNNNNNNNNNNNNNNNNNNNNNNNNNNNNNNNNNNNNNNNNNNNNNNNNNNNNNNNNNNNNNNNNNNNNNNNNNNNNNNNNNNNNNNNNNNNNNNNNNNNNNNNNNNNNNNNNNNNNNNNNNNNNNNNNNNNNNNNNNNNNNNNNNNNNNNNNNNNNNNNNNNNNNNNNNNNNNNNNNNNNNNNNNNNNNNNNNNNNNNNNNNNNNNNNNNNNNNNNNNNNNNNNNNNNNNNNNNNNNNNNNNNNNNNNNNNNNNNNNNNNNNNNNNNNNNNNNNNNNNNNNNNNNNNNNNNNNNNNNNNNNNNNNNNNNNNNNNNNNNNNNNNNNNNNNNNNNNNNNNNNNNNNNNNNNNNNNNNNNNNNNNNNNNNNNNNNNNNNNNNNNNNNNNNNNNNNNNNNNNNNNNNNNNNNNNNNNNNNNNNNNNNNNNNNNNNNNNNNNNNNNNNNNNNNNNNNNNNNNNNNNNNNNNNNNNNNNNNNNNNNNNNNNNNNNNNNNNNNNNNNNNNNNNNNNNNNNNNNNNNNNNNNNNNNNNNNNNNNNNNNNNNNNNNNNNNNNNNNNNNNNNNNNNNNNNNNNNNNNNNNNNNNNNNNNNNNNNNNNNNNNNNNNNNNNNNNNNNNNNNNNNNNNNNNNNNNNNNNNNNNNNNNNNNNNNNNNNNNNNNNNNNNNNNNNNNNNNNNNNNNNNNNNNNNNNNNNNNNNNNNNNNNNNNNNNNNNNNNNNNNNNNNNNNNNNNNNNNNNNNNNNNNNNNNNNNNNNNNNNNNNNNNNNNNNNNNNNNNNNNNNNNNNNNNNNNNNNNNNNNNNNNNNNNNNNNNNNNNNNNNNNNNNNNNNNNNNNNNNNNNNNNNNNNNNNNNNNNNNNNNNNNNNNNNGGGGGGGCUUCUCCUCCUUUUGUUUUUUUGUUUCUCUUUUGUAUUUUCUUUCUUUUAUUUAUUUUGUAGUUUCUUUUAUUUUCAGUUUUAUAAAAUUACCACUAGUGCCUAAUUUGUAUUUACCAAUAAACUACUACGAGAUUAAUUCUUAACCCAUAAUAAAAUAGUGUUAGCAUUUUAUAAAUUCAAUAGGCAUUUGUUUAAUUGUUUUCACUAUUGUUUUAAUUGUCUUAGGGCCUUUAAACAUUUUAUCAAAGUUUGGUUUCUCCACCAUAAUUACCUAUGUAUUAUUUGGUUCACUCCGAACAUUUAAAUUUUAAUAUUUGAAAACUUUUAUUGUUUGCUCAAUUUUGAAUUUGAAAUUCGAACUAGGUUCCGAACUAAUGCGAGUUUAUCCACAGUAACCGAGGUGACGUGGCAUCAUUAGCGGGGAUUACUGUAGCUUAAUUACCCGGGCGUCACAUGUAUUAACCGGAAACUUACUACAUGUGUGAAUACAUAGACAAACAGAGUGUCACUAGUAUGCCUCUACUUGGCUAGCUCGUUAAUCAAAGAUGGUUAAGUUUCCUAACCAUAGACACGAGUUGUCAUUUGAUGAACAGAAUCACAUCAUUAGAGAAUGAUGUGAUUGACUUGACCCAUCCGUUAGCUUAGCACUAUGAUCGUUUAGUUUGUUGCUAUUGCUUUCUUCGUAACUUAUACAUGUUCCUAUGACUAUGAGAUUAUGCAACUCCCAAAUACCGGAGGAACACUUAGUGUGCUAUCAAACGUCACAAUGUAACUGGGUGACUAUAAAGAUGUUCUACAGGUGUCUCCGAUGGUGUUUGUUGAGUUGGCAUAGGUCGAGAUUAGGAUUUGUCACUCCGAUUGUCGAAGAGGUAUCUCUUGGCCCUCUCAGUAAUGCACAUCACUAUAAGCCUUGCAAGCAAUGUGACUAAUGAGUUAGUUGCGGGAUGUUGCAUUACAGAACGAGUAAAGAGACUCGCCGGUAACGAGAUUGAACUAGGUAUGAUGAUACCGACGAUUGAAUCUCGGGAAAGUAACAUACCGAUGACAAAGGAAAUAACGUAUGUUGUUAUGCGAUUUGACCGAUAAAGAUCUUCGUAGAAUAUGUUGGAACCAAUAUGAGCAUCCAGGUUCCGCUAUUGGUUAUUGACCGGAAGUGAGUCUCGGUCAUGUCUACAUAGUUCUCGAACACGUAGGGUCUGCACGCUUAACAUUCGAUGACGGUUGGUAUUAUAAGUUUAUGUGUUUUGAUGUACCGAAGGUUGUUUGGAGUCCCGGAUGUGAUCCCGGACAUGACGAGGAGUCUCGAAAUGGUCGAGACAUAAAUAUCGACAUAUUGGAAGGCUAUGUUUGGAACCAGAAUGGUUCCGGAUGUGUUCGGGCAUUUUCCGGAGUACCGGGAGGUUACCGAAACCCCCCGGGGAGUCAAUGGGCCUUAUUGGGCCUUAGUGGAAGCGAGGAGGAGGUGGCCAGGUGGAGGGCGCCCCCCCCCCCCCCAAGCCCAAUCCGAAUUGGGGUGGGGGCGGGCCCCCCUUUCCUUUCUCCUUCUCCCCCUUCUUCUCCUACUCCAACUAGGGAAGGGGGGAAACCUACUCCUACUGGGAGUAGGACUCCCCCCCCCCUUGGGUGCGCCCUAUGAGGGCCGGCCCUUCCCUCCUCCACUCCUUUAUAUACGGGGGGGCACCCCAUAGACACACAAGUUGACAGUUAUGUUAGUCGUGUUUGGUGCCCCCCUCCACAUAUUUCCACCUCGGACAUAUCGUUGUAGUGCUUAGGCGAAGCCCUGCGUCGGUAACUUCCAUCAUCACGCGGUCGUGUUGACGAAACUCUCCCUCUGCCUCAACUGGAUCAAGAGUACGAAGGACGUCACUGAGCUAAACGUGUGCAGAUCGCGGAGGUGCCGUGCGUUCGGUACUUGAUCGGUUGGAUCACGAAGACGUUCGACUACAUCAACCGCGUUACUUAACGCUUCCGCUUUGAGUCUACGAGGGUACAUGGAAACACUCUCCCCUCUCGUUGCUAUGCAUCUCCUAGAUAGAUCUUGCGUGAUCGUAGGAAUUUUUUUGAAAUACUGUGUUCCCCAAUAGUGGUAUCCGAGCCAGGUCUAUGCGUAGAUGUUAUAUGCAUGAGUAGAACACAAAGAAUUGUGGGCGAUUAUAGUCAUACUGCUUACCAGCAUGUCAUACUUUGAUUCGGUGGUAUUGUUGGAUGAAACGGCUCAGACCGACAUUACAUGUACGCUUACGCGAGACUGGUUCUACCGACGUGCUUCACACACAGGUUGCUAGUGGUUGUCUAUUUCUCCAACUUUAGUUGAAUCGAGUGUGACUACGCCCGGUCCUUGUUGAAGGUUAAAAUAGCAAACUUGACGAAGAAUCAUUGUGGUUUUUGAUGCGUAGGUAAGAACGGUUCUUGCUAAGCCUGUAGCAUCCACGUAAAACUUGCAACAACAAAGUAGAGGACGUCUAACUUGUUUUUGCAGGGCAUGUUGUGAUGUAAUAUGGUCAAGACGUGAUGAUAUAUAUAAAUUGUUGUAUGAGAUGAUCAUGUUUUGUAACACAGUUAUCGGCAACUAGCAGGAGCCAUAUGGUUGUCGCUUUAUUGUAUGAAAUGCAAUCGCCAUGUAAUUGCUUUACUUUAUGAUAAGCGGUAGCAAUAGUCAUAGUAGAAAUAGUUGGCGAGACGACAACGAUGCUUCGAUGGAGAUCAAGGUGUCAAGCCGGUGACGAUGGUGAUCAUGACGGUGCUUUGAAGAUGGAGAUCAAAGGCACAAGAUGAUGAUGACCAUAUCAUAUCACUUAUAUUGAUUGCAUGUGAUGUUUAUCCUUUAUGCAUCUUAUUUUGCUUAGUACGGUGGUAGCAUUAUAAGAUGAUCUCUCACUAAAUUUGAAGGUACAAGUGUUCUCCCUGGGUAUGCACCGUUGCUACAGUUCGUCGUGCCGAGACACCACGUGAUGAUCGGGUGUGAUAAGCUCUACGUUCACAUACAACGGGUGCAAGCCAGUUUUGCACACGCAGAAUACUCGGGUUAAACUUGACGAGCCUAGCAUAUGUAGAUAUGGCCUCGGAACACUGAGACCGAAAGGUCGAGCGUGAAUCAUAUAGUAUAUAUGAUCAACAUAGUGAUGUUCACCAUUGAAAACUACUCCAUCUCACGUGAUGAUCGGACAAUGGUUUAGUUGAUAUGGAUCACGUGAUCACUUAGAUGAUUAGAGGGAUGUCUAUCUAAGUGGGAGUUCUUAAGUAAUAUGAUUAAUUGAACUUUAAUUUAUCAUGAACUUAGUACCUGAUAGUAUUUUGCAUGUCUAUGUUGUUGUAGAUAAAUAGCUCGUGCUGUUGUUCCGUUGAAUUUUAAUGCGUUCCUAGAGAAAGCUAAGUUGAAAGAUGGUGGUAGCAACUACACGGACUGGGUCCGUAACUUGAGGAUUAUCCUCAUUGCUGCACAGAAGAAUUACGUCCUGGAAGCACUGCUAGGUGCCAAAACUGUUGUAGGAGCAACACCAGAUGUUAUGAACACCUGGCAAAGCAAAGUUGAUGACUACUCAAUAGUUCAGUGUGCCAUGGUUUACGGCUUAGAACCGGGACUUCAACGAUGUUUUGAACGUCAUGGAGCAUAUAUAUAUUAGAUGUUCCAAGAGUUGAAGUUAAUAUUUCAAGCAAAUGCCCGGAUUGAGAGAUAUGAAGUCUCCAAUAAGUUCCACAGCUGCAAGAUGGAGGAGAAUAGUUCUGUUAGUGAGCAUAUACUCAGAAUGUCUGGGUACCACAAUCACUUCACUCAGCUGAGAAUUAAUCUUCCAGUUGAUAGUGUCAUUGACAGAGUUCUUCAAUCACUGCCAUCAAGCUAGAAAAACUUCGUGAUGAACUAUAAUAUGCGAGGGAUGGAUAAGACAAUUCCCGAGCUCUUCGUAAUGCUAAAGGCUGCGGAGGUAGAAAUCAAGAAGGAGCAUCAAGUGUUGAUGGUCAACAAGACCACCAGUUUCAAGAAAAAGGGCAAAGGGAAGAAGGGGAACUUCAAGAAGAACGGCAAGCAAGUUCCAGCUCAAGUGAAGAAGCCCAAGUCUGGACCUAAGCCUAAGACUGAGUGCUUCUACUGCAAAGGGACUGGUCACUGGAAGCGGAACUGCCCCAAGUAUUUGCCGGAGAAGAAGGAUGGCAAAGUGAAAGGUAUAUUUGAUAUACAUGUUAUUGAUAUGUACCUUACUAAUGCUCGCAGUAGCGCCUGGGUAUUUGAUGCUGAUUCUGUUGCUAAUAUUUGCUACUCGAAACAAGGGCUACGGAUUAAGCAAAGAUUGGCUAAUGAUGAGGUGACGAUGUGUGUGCGAAAUGGUUUCAAAGUCAAUGUGAUCACCAUCGGAACGCUACCUCUACAUCUACCUUCAGGAUUAGUUUUAGACCUGAAUAAUUGUUAUUUGGUGCCAGCGUUAAGCAUGAACAUUAUAUCUGGAUAUUGUUUGAUGCAAGACGGUUAUUCAUUUAAAUAUGAGAAUAAUGGUUGUUCUAUUUAUAUGAGUAAUAUCUUUUAUGGUCAUGCACCAUUGAUGAGUGGUCUAUUUUUACUAAAUCUUGAUAGUAGUGAUACACAUAUUCAUAGUAUUGAUGCCAAAAGAUAUAAGUUUAAUAAUGAUAGUGCAACUUAUUUGUGGCACUGCCGUUUAGGUCAUAUUGGUGUAAAGCGCAUGAAGAAACUCCAUGUUGAUGGGCUUUUGGAAUCACUUGAUUGUGAAUCACUUGAUGCUUGCGUACCAUGUCUCAUGGGCAAGAUGACUAAGACUCCGUUCUCCGAAACAAUGGAGCGAGCAACAGACUUAUUGGAAAUAAUACAUACUGAUGUAUGUGGUCCGACGAGUGUUGAUGCUCGCGGCAGGUAUCGUUAUUUUCUGACCUUCACAGAUGAUUUGAGCAGAUAUGGGUAUAUCUACUUGAUGAAACAUAAGUCCGAAACAUUUGAAAAGUUCAAAUAAUUUUAGAGUGAAGUGGAAAAUCAUCGUAACAGGAAAAUAAAGUUUCUAUGAUCUGAUCGUGGAGGACAAUAUUUGAGUUACGAGUUUGGUCUUCAUUUGAAACAAUGCGGAAUAGUUUCGCAACUCACGCCACCCAGAACACCACAGCAUAAUGGUGUGUCCGAAUGUCGUAAUCGUACUUUAUUAGAUAUGGUACGAUCUAUGAUGUCUCUUACCGAUUUACCUAUAUCGUUUUGGGGUUAUGCUUUAGAGACGACUGCAUUCACGUUAAAUAGGGCACCAUCUAAAUCCGUUGGGAUGACACCAUAUGAACUGUGGUUUGGCAAGAAACCCAAGUUGUCGUUUCUUAAAGUUUGGGGCUGUGAUGCUUAUGUGAAAAAUCUUCAACCUGAUAAGCUCGAACCUAAAUCGGAGAAAUGUGUCUUCAUAGGAUACCCAAAGGAGACUGUUGGGUACACCUUCUAUCACAGAUCCAAAGGCAAGAUAUUCGUUGCUAAGAAUGGAUCCUUUCUAGAGAAGGGGUUUCUCUCAAAAGAAGUGAGUGGGAGGAAAGUAGAACUUGAUGAGGUAAUUGUACCUGCUCCCUUAUUGGAAAGUAGUUCAUCAUAGAAAUCAGUUCCAGUGAUUCCUAUAUCAGUAAGUGAGGAAGCUAAUGAUGAUGAUCAUGAAACUUCUAAUCAAGUUACUACCGAGCCUCGUAGGUCAACCAGAGUAAGAUCCACACUAGAGUGGUACGGUAAUCCUGUUCUGGAGGUCAUGUUACUUGACCAUGACAAACCUACGAACUAUGAGGAAGCGAUGAUGAUCCCAGAUUCCACGAAAUGGCUUGAGGCCAUGAAAUCUGAGAUCGGAUCCAUGUAUGAGAACAAAAUAUGGACUUUGGUUGACUUGCCCGAUGAUCGGCAAGCCAUAGAUAAUAAAUGGAUCUUCAAGAAGAAUACUGACGCUGACGGUAAUAUUACUGUCUACAAAGCUCGACUUGUUGCGAAAGGUUUUCAACAAGUUCAAGGAGUUGACUAUGAUGAGACCUUCUCACCCGUAGCGAUGCUUAAGUCUGUCUGAAUCAUGUUAGCAAUUGCCGCAUUUUAUGAUUGUGAAAUUUGGCAAAUGGAUGUCAAAACUGCAUUCCUUAAUGGAUAUCUUAAAGAAGAGUUGCAUAUGAUGCAACCAGAAAGUUUUGUCGGUCCAAAAGGUGCUAACAAAGUGUGCAAGCUCCAGCGAUCCAUUUAUGGAUUGGUGCAAGCCUCUCGGAGUUGGAAUAUACGCUUUGAUAAUGUGAUCAAAGCAUAUGGUUUUAUACAGACUUUUGGAGAAGCAUGUAUUUACAAGAAAGUGAGUGGGAGCUCUGUAGCAUUUCUGAUAUUAUAUGUAGAUGACAUAUUAUUGAUCGGAAAUGAUACAAAAUUUCUGAAUAGCAUAAAAGGAUGCUUGAAUAAGAAUUUUUCAAUGAAAGACCUUGGUGAAGCUGCUUAUAUAUUGGGCAUUAAGAUCUAUAGAGAUAGAUCAAGACGCUUAAUUGGACUUUCACAAAGCACAUACCUUGAUAAAGUUUUGAAGAAGUUCAAAAUGGAUCAAGCAAAGAAAGGGCUCUUGCCUGUGUUACAAGGUGUGAAGUUGAGUCAGACUCAAUGCCCGACCACUGCAGAAGAUAGAGGGAAAAUGAAAGUCAUUCCCUAUGCUUCAGCCAUAGGUUCUAUCAUGUAUGCAAUUAUGUGUACCAGGCCUGAUGUGUGCCUUGCUAUUAGUUUAGCGGGGAGGUACCAAAGUAAUCCAGGAGUGGAUCACUGGACAGCGGUCAAGAACAUCCUGAAAUACUUGAAAAGGACUAAGGAUAUGUUCCUCUUUUAUGGAGGUGACAAAGAGCUCGUCGUAAACGGUUACGUCGAUGCAAGCUUUGACACUGAUCCAGAUGACUCUAAGUCACAAACCGGAUACAUAUUUUUAUUGAAUGGCGGAGCUGUCAGUUGGUGCAAUUCCAAGCAGAGCGUGGUGGCGGGAUCUACGUGUGAAGCGGAAUACAUAGCUGCUUCAGAAGCAGCAAAUGAAGGAGUCUGGAUGAAGGAGUUCAUAUCAGAUCUAGGUGUCAUACCUAGUGCAUCGGGUCCAAUGAAAAUCUUUUGUGACAAUACCAGUGCAAUUGCCUUGGCAAAGGAAUCCAGAUUUCACAAAAGAACGAAGCACAUCAAGAGACGCUUCAAUUCCAUCCACGAUCAAGUGAAGGAGGGAGACAUGGAGAUUUGCAAGAUACAUACGGAUCUGAAUGUUGCAGACCCGUUGACUAAGCCUCUCUCACGAGCAAAACAUGAUUAGCACCAAGACUCCAUGGGUGUUAGAAUCAUUACAAUGUAAUCUAGAUUAUUGACUCUAGUGCAAGUGGGAGACUGAAGGAAAUAUGCCCUAGAGGCGAUAAUAAUGUUGUUAUUUAUAUUUCCUUACAUCAUGAUAAAUGUUUAUUAUUCAUGUUAGAAUUGUAUUAACUGAAACUUACUACAUGUGUGAAUACAUAGACAAACAGAGUGUCACUAGUAUGCCUCUACUUGACUAGCUCGUUAAUCAAAGAUGGUUAAGUUUCCUAACCAUAGACAUGAGUUGCCAUUUGAUGAAUGGGAUAACAUCAUUAGAGAAUGAUGUGAUUGACUUGACCCAUCCGUUAGCUUAGCACUAUGAUUGUUUAGUUUGUUGUUAUUGCUUUCUUCAUAACUUAUACAUGUUCCCAUGACUAUGAGAUUAUGCAACUCCUGAAUACCGGAGGAACACUUAGUGUGCUAUCAAACGUCACAACGUAACUGGGUGACUAUAAAUAUGCUCUACGGGUGUCUCCAAUAGUGUUUGGUGAGUUGGCAUAGAUCGAGAUUAGGAUUUGUCACUCCGAUUGUCGGAGAGGUAUCUCUGGGCCCUCUUGGUAAUGCACAUGAUUAUAAGCGUUGCAAGCACUGUGACUACUGAGUUAGUUGCGGGAUGUUGCAUUACGGAACGAGUAAAGAGACUUGCUGGUAACGAGAUUGAACUAGGUAUGAUGAUACCGACGAUCGAAUCUCGGGCAAGUAACAUACCGAUGACAAAGGGAACAACGUAUGUUGUUAUGCGGUUUGACCGAUAAAGAUCUUCGUAGAAUAUGUAGGAACCAAUAUGAGCAUCCAGGUUCCGCUAUUGGUUACUGAUCGGAAGUGAGUCUCGGUCAUGUCUACAUAGUUCUCUAACCCGUAGGGUCCGCACGCUUAGCGUUCGAUGACGAUCUGUAUUAUGAGUGAGGGAGUCCUGGAUUAGGGGGUCUCCGGACAGCCGGACUAUAACCUUUGGCCGGACUGUUGGGUUAUGAAGAUACUAAAUUGAAAACUUCGUCUCGUGUCCGGAUGGGACUCUACUUGGCGUGGAAGGCAAGCUAGGCAAUGCGGAUAUGCAUAUCUCCUCCUUUGUAACCGACCUUGUGUAACCCUAGCCCCCUUCGGUGUCUAUAUUAAGCGGAGGGUUUUAGUCCAUAGGACACAACAAUAACAUACAAUCAUACCAUAGGCUAGCUUCUAGGGUUUAGCCUCUCUAAUCUCGUGGUAGAUCUACUCUUGUACUACCCAUAUCAUCAAUAUUAAUCAAGCAGGACGUAGGGUUUUACCUCCAUCAAGAGGGCCCGAACCUGGGUAAAACUUCGUGUCCCCUGCCUCCUAUUACCAUCCGCCUAAACGCACAGUUCGGGACCCCCUCCCCGAGAUCCGCCGGUUUUGACACCGACAUUGGUGCUUUCAUUGAGAGUUCCUCUGUGUCGUCGCCGUUAUGCUUGAUGGCUGCUUCUAUCAUCGAUAGCCAUGCCAAACAGGGUGAGACUUUUCUCCCCAGACAGAUUUUUGUAUUCGACGGCUUUGCACUGCGGGCCAAUCCGCUUGGCCAUCUGGAGCAGAUUGAAAGCUACGCCCCUGGCCAUCAGGUCAGAUUUGGAAGCUUAAGCUACACGGCCGAUAUCCGCGGAGACUUGAUCUUCGACGGAUUCGAGCCUCUGCCUUGUGUGUCAUGCGGUCAUGAUGAUUAUGAUUUAGCUCUACCAUCCGACAGUGUUCAGGAGAUCGCACCGGCAGCCGCUCCGACCCUCAAUUUGGAGCCAGUUGCGCCAUCCAUGGACGGGUGGAUGGACCCCGCCACGGAGGCCUUACCCCCAUCGGCGAUCGAGCCGAACAUCGACCUUACUCUGCACGAGAGCCAUGUUGACAAACUGCCGGAUCUCUCUCCGGCCACGGACUCCGAACCGCUUGCGCCCGUUCCUAGCGAAUCCAAUUGGGUGCCGAUCAUGGAGUUUACCUCCGCGGAUAUUUUUCAGCACUCGCCCCUUGGCGACAUACUGAACUCAUUAAGGUCUCUCUCCUUGUCAGGAGAAUCCUGGCCGAACUAUGUCCGGCAGGAUUGGGAUGCGGAUGGCGUCAAAAUUCACCGCCCACCCACCACCCACUUAGUAGCCAUUGUCUAUGACCUAACCGACAUGCUCGACUUCAACUCCGAAGACAUCGAUGGUAUGGACAAUGAUGCAGGAGACGAACAGGAACCACUGCCCACAGGGCACUGGACGCCCACUUCAUCACAUGACAUAUACAUGGUGGACAAACCAAAAGAAAACGACCACGAGGAACAGAAGGACGCAAUGAAGUGUUUUCCCCUCAAGAAGCAGUCAAAGCGGCGGCGUAAGCACCACUCCAAAUCCUGCCUCGGCAGAAACAACGAUCAUACAGACCCAGCGUUAGAGCAGGGUGAACCAUCGCCGGACCACGGCAACACGGAGAAUCAAACUGAACAACACGAUUCUGUCAAAGAUAACAGUCCGGAUGACAUCACACCGGACAGACACCCGGAGAAACAGAAUGCCCGUCAAAGGCUCGUUGCCACCGCAAGGAGUCUAAAAAAGCAGAAGCAAAGGCUCAAGGCUGCGCAAGACACACUUAAAAUCAGAUGGAGUAAUGUACUCAAUACGGCAGCGAAGUACGGUGGUAAUUGCCCCACCAAGAGCUACCCGAAGCGGAAGUUGCUACCUGAAUUCGAUGAGGAGGCCUUAGAUCCCCCGCAACCAAAAAUUAAAACGGCCACCUGGCCGGAUAGACGACCUCACGGCCAACAUAGAGCGGCAAACAACGCCGCACAUAAGCCAAUACGCGAUCCACACGAGGGCUCGCAUCAAAAGGGCGGCGCAACCAGAUCCAUCUAUGGACCACGCAAGCACGCUCCAGCAUACGAUGCAACACAACAAACAUCUAAACAACACGGUAAACCCAGAUACAGGGGUGCUAGACGCCCCCUAUGUUUCACCGAUGAGGUGCUGGACCAUGAAUUUCCAGAGGGAUUCAAACCCGUAAACAUAGAGGCAUACGACGGAACAACAGACCGAGGACUACAUCCUCCAUAUCCAUAUGGCUCGAGGAGAUGAUCUCCACGCCAUCAAGUACUUACCCCUCAAGCUCAAAGGGCCAGCUCGGCACUGGCUUAAAAGCCUCCCCGAAAACUCCAUUGGAAGCUGGGAAGAGCUCGAAGAUGCUUUUCGGGCAAAUUUUCAAGGGACUUAUGUCCGACCUCCGGAUGCAGAUGAUUUGAGUCAUAUAACUCAACAGCCCGGAGAGUCAGCCCGAAAGCUUUGGAAUAGGUUUCUUACUAAAAAGAACCAAGUAGUCGACUGUCCGGACGCCGAAGCCUUGGCAGCUUUUAAGCAUAGUGUCCGCGGCGAAUGGCUUGCCAGACACCUCGGCCAAGAAAAGCUGAGAACAAUGGCAGCAUUAACAAGCCUCAUGACCCGCUUUUGCGCGGGUGAGGACAGCUGGCUAGCCAGAUGCAGCACCAGCGACCCAAGUACAUCCGAAGUUAGAGAUGAAAACGGGAAAUCACGACGCAGCAAAAAUAAUAAGCGCCGAAAUAAAGAAGACAGCCCGAAGAGCACGGCAGUAAAUGCUAGAUUCAGAAGCUCUCGGCCAGGUCAGCCAAAGCCCUCCCCCUAAAGGCGCCAGAGAUGAACUGUACAGCCUGAACAAAACUCUGGACCAAAUAUGUCAGAUCCAUAGCACCCGUGGUAAACCCGCUAAUCAUACCCACAGAGAAUGUUGGGUCUUCAAGUAGUCCGGCAAGCUGAACGCCGUACACAAGGGGGAGGAUACACCAAGCGAAGACGAGGAUGAGCCUCUCAAGCAAGACACUGGGGAACAAAAGAAAUUUCCACCAGAAGUCAAAAUAGUAAACGUGUUACACGUGAUCAAGGGGAGAAAUAAAGCGGCACUCUCAGAGAAAUAUGCCCAAGGGCCUAUCACCGCGGAGUCCUGCCACUGGUCGGCUCAACCGAUCACUUUCUACCAUCGAGAUUACUUAGCAAAUAUCCGGCAUGCAGGAUGGGUUGCCUUGGUAUUAGACCCAAUAAUUGACGGAUACCAUUUCACAUGAGUCCUGAUGGACGGUGGCAACAGUCUAAACCUGAUAUAUCAGGACACAAUCCGCAAAAUGGGGAUAGACCCAACGAAAAUUUGCCACAACAAUACUACCUUUAAAGGAGUAAUGCCAGGCCCAAGGGCUCACUGCACGGGCUCCCUACUACUAGAAGUUAUAUUCGGCUUCCCCGAUAACUUCCGUAGCGAAAAUUUAACCCUCCACAUUGCUCCGUUCCAAAGUGGCUAUCAAGCACUACUUGGACGCGAAGCUUUCGCUCGCUUUAACGCAAUACCGCACUACGCUUCCCUCACGCUUAAGAUGCCCGGUCCACGUGGCAUCAUUACAGUAAAUGGAAAUAUGGAGCGAUCCCUGCGCGCUGAAGAGAAUGCGGCUGCCUGGGCAGCCGCACACUAAAACGGCCUCACCAACCAAAGCAUUUGAUAGGUCGUCAAGACCACGGACAUGGUUAGACAAGUCUAGCGCAGCUGUAUGUAAUUCAUACAGGUUUGAUGGCCACACCCCUAUCACAAAUACAAGGGGCUCAACGCGCGCAGACAAGUGGCAAUUUUUACUCAUCUUGAAUUGUACAUGGUUUUUUCAAAAAACCUACCUUUUUGCACGACAAAUUUUCACUUAAGUUCCUCUCUUUUACAGAUGACCACCGUGCUACACCUGUCCAGGAUACGGCACAACAGAGACACAGGCGCAGACGUGCAGUAGGGACCCUUUCCAAGGAUUCUUUUUAGAUUAAGACCAUGCGUCAACCUUUUUUACUGUCUCUUGUUGAUACACAUCCCUCGGAUUCUCAGUACAAUUGAGAAGGAUGCUGGCGUCUUGGCAUGUGGCCACGUCAGAAUAAUGCACGUACCUGAACACCAUGGGCUUCUUACAAAGGGCACUGAUUAGGCCCGGUUCAUACCAUAAAGACCAAAUACCUUAGGGAGUGUUCGGCGUCGCGAGUUUGGCCCUAUAUGCAUCAGCUCCGAAUCAUGUCUUUGGUCAAAUGUUGGGUUUGCCCGGCUCCUAUGUUUUGGUACCUUAAAUUCCGCUCUAUCGGCUAAGGUAGCACUAGGAGAACUACUGCGAUUGUGCCCUGGGUCAUCUGGACGAGCACCUCAGUAGAGAAAGCCGAAAACUGACUGUCAUGGUAUAUCGUGAGACUGGUCAACCACUCGAUGACCUAUCGGAAUGUUAGAAUUCCUCCGCCUUAACGAAGGGCCGUUUCCCGGCCAGGCAUGUACGCACCCCGAAUUCGGGAGAGUGCAGAGCCACCAGGGGCUAUAUAGUAGCCCCACCGUCAAACUCCUAUGGCUAAGUGAAAGUGUUAAAGCAUUAUAGUCCAGUUGCCUUGUUCGCUGUGCUAUCACCUCCUUAAUAGGACCAAGACGUUGGGUUAAGUGUGAACACGCGUCUUCUGCGAACACCUCGGCAUUAUAUGCGUGGGGGCUGAAGUCGACGACUGCAAUCUUUCCGGUUAUACACAUGUAUACAUAAACGGCCGCACAGGAGGCAUCAUAUUACUUUCAGGCAAAAGUAUAAACACAGCCUUAAUAAAUUUCAUAAAAACAUUGUGUUUACAAUGGGAAUACAUGUCACUCAAACAUAAUAUUCUUCGAGCACUAGGCCUCUAUCAAACGAGCACCCUCGAGAACCUCUUCGAAAUAGUGCUUGGCAGCCACUCGGCCUAUGGCCGAACCCUGGGCCGCAACAGUGGUAGCAUCCAUCUCUGCCCAGUAUGCUUUAACACGGGCAAGGGCCAUCCGCGAGCCCUCUAUGCACGUCGACCUCUUCAUCGCAUUGAUGCGCGGCACCGCACCAAGGAACUGCUGCACUAAGCUGAAAUAGAUGUUCGGCUUCAGCUUUUCCGGCCACAGCUGAUCCACGACAGACCUCAUGGCGAGUCCGGACAACCUAUUGAGUUCAGCCCAUUCGGCUAGCUGAUCAGUCAACGGAAGCGGAUGCUCUGGAACAUUAAAUUGCGACCAGAACAGCUUGUCCACUUCACGAUCUGUUUGAUCGCGGAAGUAUUUGGCCGGAUCGACAGCGCUCGCCGCCAAGUCCAUAUAUGCGUCUGCCGAACUCCACAGCCGAUCCAGAGGGGCAUACCGCGGAUCUCCGAACUUCCUCCGCAGCAUAAAGGGCUUCCCAGCCGCAAUAUCCCCGGCUUCACGCAGCUCCUUCUUCUUCGCUCUCAUAGCAGAGCGGGUGUCUUUGUUCGCCAUUGUGGCCUUUUCAAGGUCCGUAGCCUUCGCUCGGUUUUCUUUUUCAAGGAACUGGCAACGGUCGGUAGUGUCUUUUAACUUUACGGCCAUCUUGGCCGUCUUCUCUUUGCUCUCGCAAUGCGCGGCCUUCUCGGCUUUCAACUCUUCGGCCGCCUUCAAAGCGGCCGCAUUACUAAUCCUUGCUUGUUCUUUGGCUCGGGCAAGUUCCGCCUGUAGGCUUUCCACGGUGGCAGCUCCAUCUCCAGUCACAACAUAUUAAAGAUACUGGCAUCAUGCUACUCUUACUAUGUGGCAUUCACCAGAAAAUACCGUUUACCCUGUGCCUCGUCAAGCCUCUUGUUAACAAGCUCGAUGUCGGCAUCCGCCGCAUCCAGUUGCCGCUUCAGUUCGGCAAACUCAUGAGUCCGGCUAGCCACCAGAGCUCCCACUACCUGCACAUUAAAGCGGUAUGGUUAUUGCCUGGGACUACGAUCCUCUGUUUGCCGCCAUUCUCGGCGACAACCAGAGUCUCAGGGGCUACUAUCUACACAGGGCACACCUAAAAAUGUGCGGUACCAUCACAAAUGUACAUCAUUUUACGUACCUCAAAGCCCGUCAGUAGACUCAUAAAGGCAUCAUGCAACCCGCUUUCGGCGGAUGAAAUCCUUUCCGUCACCGUACCCAUCAAUGGACGGUGUUCUUCUGAGAUGGCCGCCCGUUCCAAUAGCUCUCUCAGUACGUCCGACCGCAAACCAGACGGUGCCGGACUCUUCUGUUUGCUCUCUUCAAGAGUCGGACACUCGGGACUUCGGGUGACUAUAGGAUUAUCUUCUGGCCUCACCGGAUCCGGAGAGGCCCUCCGUGACGACACUUCAAGGUCGCCCGCUUCUUGAGCGGAGGAGUCCGGGGGAGGCAUUUCGCUCUCUAUCAUCUUCGGAAGAAGAUCCCCCGAAGACGAGCUCUGCUGAGAAGGGCUAAGAUCCGAACUGUAAGAUAAAUACUUCGGUUAUUUUCCUCAGAGGUAAGGUAAUAUAUCUUCACUAUUAAAGUACUUUUUAAUUACUUACAGCUCGUUAGAGGGCUGAUCCCCACGCGGACUUUGUGCAGCAAGAGCACCCUCCAAGGCAGGACCCUCUGGUGGAGAUUUCUUCUCCCGCUUGUAAACCUUGGUUUUUGGAUCUUUAGAGGUAGUCCUCUUCCUUCCCCGGGGUGAGAGAAUGUCAGAUUCCUCCCCUCGGUUAUCCUCCCUCAUGGAGGCGCUCGUUCCCUCGGUCGGAAUAGGUAGCGGUGGAGGCCCGCUUUCGCCCUCAUUAUUCCCCCCUUUGUCUUCCUUUGAGGGCUCCGGGCAAGGUGCUAGCUCGAGCAUCUUUUCCAGUACCGGAUUUUCCAAACCCUCAGGAAGGGGGGCCGAACACCGAAUCAUCUUCGCCUUUGUUAUCCAGUCCUGGUCAAAGAGCGAUCUCUCAUAAUAACGUCAUGAUAAAUGAAAUACGGUGUGUUCGGCUAGAGGAUAACUUACUUGGUCGGCGAUGCGGUUGCUGCUCAGGCCCACGUCCUCGGUAGUAUCCGGACACUCUAUCUGGGGUACGAAGAAUGAUCUAUACAUCUCCUCGUGCGUCAGGCCAAGGAAAUUUUGAAUAGCGCGCGGUCCUUCUGGGUUGAACUCCCACAUGCGAAGAGGCCGGCGUUUGCAUGGCUGGAUUUGUUGAACCAGCAUGACUUGCAUUACCAUAAUCAAACUGAAAUCUCCUUCGAAGAGAUUUCGAAUGCGGCUUUGCAGUACAGGCACGUCCUUGGCGGGACCCCAGCUCAGCCCUCUGCUAAUCCAUGACAUCAGUUGUGGCGGAGGGCCUGAGCGGAUAGCAGGGGCAGCCGCCCACUUGGCACUUCUGGGAGCUGUGAUGCAAAAUCACUCCCGUUGCCAUAAUCUGGACACCUCUGGAAUAGAACCCUUUGGCCAUGGAGCUUCGGCGAUCCUGCUUAUUAAUGCGCCUCCGCACGCUACAUGCUGCCCCUCGACCAUCUUCGGCUUCACGUCAAAGGUCUUGAGCCAUAGGCCGAAGUGGGGGGUAAUGCGGAGGAAAGCCUCACAUACAACAAUAAAUUAUGAGAUGUGGAGAAAGGAGUCCGGGGCUAGAUUGUGGAAAUCUAGCCCGUAAUAAAAUAGCAGCCCCCUAACGAAGGGAUCCAGAGUGAGGCCUAGACCUCGGAGGAAGUGGGAGAUGAACACGACGUCUUCGUUGGGUUCAGGAGUAGGGACGACCUGCCCUCGGGUAGGCAGCCGAUGCGAAACCUCGACGGUCCGGUAUCUGGCCUCCCUCAACUUCUUGAUGUCUUCUUCCGUAAUGGAGGAGGGCAUCCAUCGGCCUUGAAGGCUAGAUCCGGACAUGAUUGACGGCCCGGAGCACCUAACCUGGGCUUUGGGUGUUAGAACUCGAGGCGGGGGAAGGAUUCGAUUGAGCACGGGAGGGAAAAAAGUAAAAGCCUUGUCCCUUUAUAAAGAGAGUGAAUAUCAAGCGUCCUCUCCGUAGCCGUUUGGGACUUGCCUAUAAUCUAGGAGUCCUAGACACGGUUGGGUUACCCACGCCCGUAUUGAUGAGAAUCCCGUGAUAAGGGGACACGAUCUGUGCUUUGACAAGACGUGUCAAAAAACUGCCUCGUGUUAUGUGCGGGACUAGUUAACGGAAACGGUUCGAAUAAUCACCGGGCCAUGACAUAAUGUCGUGUUGCCGAAACAAGUCAGCAAAUUAGAUUUGCGAAAAUAUUAUUCUCUCUACAGUGGUAUGUGGAACUUAUUUUGCAGGGUCGGACACUAUUCUUGUAUUCAAAUUCUUCCGUGGUGUAUUCGGAGGAGGAACCCACCUUGCAAUGCCGAAGACAAUACUGCGCAACGGACUCAUCGCCAUUGAAGCCUGGUUCAGGGGCUACUGAGGGAGUCCUGGAUUAGGGGGUCUCCGGACAGCCGAACUAUAAUAUUUGGCCGGACUGCUGGACUAUGAAGAUACUAAAUUGAAGACUUCGUCUCGUGUCCGGAUGGGACUCUACUUGGUGUGGAAGGCAAGCUAGGCAAUACGGAUAUGCAUAUCUCCUCCUUUGUAACCAACCUUGUGUAACCCUAGCCCCCUUCGGUGUCUAUAUAAACCGGAGGGUUUUAGUCCGUAGGACACAACAAUAACAUACAAUCAUACCAUAGGCUAGCUUCUACGGUUUAGCCUCUCUGAUCUCGUGGUAGAUCUACUCUGAUCUCGUGGUAGAUCUACUCUUGUACUACCCAUAUCAUCAAUAUUAAUCAAGCAGUACAUAGGGUUUUACCUCCAUCAAGAGGGCCCGAACCUGGGUAAAACUUCGUGUCCCCUGCCUCCUGUUACCAUCCGCCUAGAUGCACAGUUCGGGACCCCCUACCCGAGAUCCGCCGGUUUUGACACCGACAAUGAGUUUAUGUGUUUUGAUGUACCUAAGGUUUUUUGGAGUCCUGGAUGUGAUCACGGACAUGACGAGGAAUCUCGAAAUGGUCAAGACAUAAAGAUCGAUAUAUUGGAAGGCUAUGUUUGGACACCGGAAUGGUUCCGGAAGAGUUCGGGCAUUUUCCGGAGUACCGGGAGGUUACUGGAACCCUCCGGGGAGUCAAUGGGCCUUAUUGGGCCUUAGUGGAAGAGAGGAGGAGGAGGCCAGGUGGAGGGCGCUCCCCCCCCCCCAAGCCCAAUCCGAAUUGGGGUGGGGGCUGCCCCCCUUCCUUCUCCCUCUUCCUUCUUCUCCUACUCCAACUAGGGAAGGGGGGAAACCUACUCCUACUGGGAGUAGGACCCCCCCCCCUUGGGCGCGCCCUAUGAGGGUCGGCCCUCCCCUCCUCCACUCCUUUAUAUACGAGGGAGAGGGGCACCCCAUAGACACACAAGUUGACAGUUGUCUUAGCUGUGUGUGUGUGCCCCCUCCACAGAUUUCCACUUCGGUCAUAUCGAUGUAGUGCUUAGGCGAAGCCCUGCGUCGGUAACUUCAUCAACACCGUCAUCACGCCGUCGUGCUGAAGAAACUCUCCCUCGUCCUUAACUAGAUCAAGAGUAGGAGGGACGUCACCGAGCUGAACGUGUGCAGAUCGCGGAGGUGCCAUGCGUUCGGUACUUGAUCGGUUGGAUCGCGAAGAUGUUCGACUACAUCAACCGUGUUACUUAACGCUUCCGCUUUCGGUCUACGAGGGUACGUGGACACACUCUCCCCUCUCGUUGCUAUGCAUCUCCUACAUAGAUCUUGCAUGAUCGUAGGAAAUUUUUUGAAAUACUACGUUCCCCAACAGUCCAAGGGAUAAAUUCUUUAGCCAUUUUACUUGCCAAAAUCCCGCUUUUAAAUAAAAUUUAGAGAAAUAUUUGCUUCCUUGUAUUUUGUUAAUCUAGUCCCUCUUAUUAGGUAUAUUGAAUGUGUCUUCUAUCGUACUAUCAUUAAGCCUUUUCAAAUUAAUUACCAUUAUCGAUUUACCUCUUACAACUUUAGCAUGAUUACUAACUGUAAAAGCAGUAGACCGAUGAGUGCUUCUGCUUUCUCUAAUCGCUUUUAAUUUUAGUAAAUCAUCAAUAUGCAGUUUGAACUCUUCAAAAUCUUUAGGAGUGGAUUCUAUUGGUCCUAACUUAAUUAUAUAAUCCGGGUUUAUGAUAUUAAUAUUGCAAACUAUAGAGUUCUUAUCACAAUGUUACAUUGGUAUUUUCUCAAUAAUUUGUAUAUUUUCCAGUCUUCGCACAAUCUUGUCUAUAUCUUUUUUGGAUUUUAUAUCUCUAUACCAACUUGAAGAGAAUGAUUGUAACCCUAUACAUUUUGUAUAUGUAUUUUCUAUAUGAUAUUCUUCUAUGGUCUCACUAAGUUCUUCUUCUUUACAGAAAUCAAGGGGAUCUGAACUUGUGUUAUAUUCAUCAUCUAAAUUAGAUAUUUCUACAUUUUGUAAAUCCUUUUUUGUUUCUAUACUUCGGAUAUUUAUGGAACAUUAUCUUGAUAUGGAAUAAAUGUAACCCCUUCUUCAUGUAAAAUCAUGGUUUAUAAAGAUUGUUGUAAAAAUCUUAACCCUAUUAUCAUAUCAUCAUUUAUUACUAACAAAUCUAUUAUUAUAACUUCAUCUAUUGUAUAUUUCAUGCCAUUUCUGUAAGCUUCAAUAUCAUAUGCCAAUUGGUUAUGGAUUUUCUUUAUUCCAGACAUAUCAGUAGAUACUUUGGCUUUAUUAUCAUCUAUGGUUUCGACUAGUUUGGGACAUCUCACAAAAUAUUUAUCAUGGAUUAUGUUCUUUGUGUAACCCGUAUCUAAUAAUGCCAAUAUUUUAUAGGAAAUAUUUUGCCUUAGAACUAUUCUAACUGGGAUCCUUAUCCCUAGCACUUCAUUGAAUGGUAAUCGAACGAUAUAUUUGUUUCCAAAACUAGUUAUUGCAUCUUUUAAUUGUAUUAAUCUGUCCCCAUUUUUACCUCUUACCGUUACCAUUUGUUCUUUCAUCUACAUGCUUUUAGCAACAUUAUCUUCUCGCUCUUUACUAUUCUCUAACUCAUCUUUUAGUUUUUCUCGCUCUUGCUUCUAGUUUAUUUAUUCUAUUUUAUGAGUUUCUAACCCUGCUAGAUAGUAUUCUUUCUCUCGUUCAAACUCUAGGCGAUUAGACUAAUAUUCUACUCACUCUCCAAUAUUUAAUUCUUUAUUACUGUUUGCACAGUCUAUUCUUUAUUAAGCUAGUUAUAUCUAUUAUACGAUCUAUUAGGGGCUGGUGAGGCCAACAGAAUAAUCGAUGGUGUGCACACAGUGGUAUGAUAUCCUACUCAGUACUUAUUAUAUUUUUUAUUAUUAUGUUGUAUCAGAUGUAGCUAGGGUUCAUUCACUUGAUGUUUUUAAAUACAAACUUACAUCUUCCCAGAUAGUUUCAUCCGAAAAGAACUCUACAAUCAUAAGGUUCUCAUUCAAACGGACAUAAAUUCAUAAAAAAAUACAAGUGAAGUACGAAACUUCAUUUCCAUUUUCCUUUCCGGGAGGUCACGAAGGGAUUACACAAGAUAAAAAAAAUACCUUAUUAUUCUUGGAGAUUACAGCACCUUUGAUAUGGUGGCUAUUCUAUAAGUGGUGGUGAUACUACUAGUAAGGUCAGAGUGCGCUGGAGGCUCUUCUAGCUCGAAGCUCUGAACUCCGUCUCGUCUGUGUCUUCUCACAGCGCUCAGCCCUCCUCUUUUUAUAGUGCGCGAGGGAUGCUAGAUGUUCUGGAGUCUGGAAGUUUGUACAAUCAGCCACGCAUGACUCCCAUGCUAGACUGAUGUUUUUGUCCAAACUAAGAACUUUGUCUAGACUGGGAACUUUGUCCUAAAACUCAUCUCCAUCGCAGCUGUUGCCAUGAUUUUUAAUGCCAAACCUUACAUGCACCGUUGUAUGCCUUGUAUCCAUGUGAGUAUAGAAACAAUAAAGUUAUAACUCGCAGUAGAACAUGCAGAGUUGUUAAGUUUUAAAACAACAAGAAAAUCUUCAGUUGCAAAAGGAAACAAGAGGGGUCAAAAUCCUACAAGUUAUUUCACCAGACUAGAUAACUCACCAAGUAUGAUUAAGUUCCUCUUGAGAAACAGCUACUCUGCCUGGAAAAAUCACAAGUCUGCAAGCACUUGCCAUUUACCAACCGCAAGCACUGGGGCCUGACAAUGCUACGCGCAACUAAGGGGGUGCCCGUUGAAAUUACUGAAACUCACAGGUUCCAGACCGAGGUGCAAUAUCACAGUAUCAAAACAUUUCACGAAAAGGAAAACAAGCGGCCCGUUCAAAUACAUUAAUAACACCAUCAAACAAAAUUUGACUCCGCUCCACACAAGUGCAGAGUAAACCGAAGGUACAACCAUGUAGUUCAGCAACGAUAUAGUCUAACAAAGGAGGACCAAGCGUCGUAACAGAAAGCAAAGGCCAGACACAAGUAAAAAUGCAGUAGAUAGUAUCUCCUCCUGCCAGGUUGGUGCUGAAGCCUCCCGCAAUGCCCAGCACGGAAAAUGGCAGUGAUCCUGUAGUUCCUGCACAAGGAGAAAAUCAAA
rnacentral:lncRNA from 1 species